ACCACCUCCAUAGAAGGUAGCAUGGGCGUUAGACCAUCCACCUGCAUACCCAUGAAUUCUUUUGGUAAUGGCUAGGAGAGUUAUCAGAUAAAUUCCAAGAAAAUCCAUUUCCUGCAGAAUGAGUAAAGAAAAAAAAAGGUUCAGAAUUUAGUAACCCUAUAUUUUUGUGAUGAUAUGACAGCAUAGAAGAGAAAUAAUGAAGGGUUUGUGCGUACAGAAGUAGUUAGAACUUAGAGAAAUCAGAUUGGAUGGCAGGAGUCAAUGGAUAGGGAAAGGUAAGGGAUGUAUGGGAGGAAGAAGCUGUAUUUAUAGAUGUGCAAAGAGGAAAUUAAGCAGUAAAGCUGCCAAGCUAAUAGCCCAUGUAUGCAGGAUUAAAUUAUGGAAUUA
rnacentral:misc_RNA from 1 species